rnacentral:rRNA from 1 species
UACGGGGGGGGCAAGCGUUGUUCGGAAUUACUGGGCGUAAAGGGCCAGUAGGCGGCCAACUAAGUCCGACGUGAAAUCCCCAGGCUUAACCUGGGAACUGCGUCGGAUACUGGAUGGCUUGAAUUCGGGAGAGGGAUGCAGAAUUCCAGGUGUAGCGGUGAAAUGCGUAGAUAUCUGGAGGAAUACCGGUGGCGAAGGCGGCAUCCUGGACCGACAUUGACGCUGAUGAGCGAAAGCUAGGGGAGCAAACGGG